GAACGCUAGCUACAGGCUUAACACAUGCAAGGUCGAGGGGCAGCAUAUUGGUAGCUUGCUACUAAUGAUGGCGACCGGCGCGACGGGUGAGUAACGCGUAUCCAACCUUCCCUAUACUAGAGGAUAGCCCGGCGAAAGUCGGAUUAAUACUCUAUGUUAUUCAAUGCGGACAUCUAAGUUGAAUCAAGGAUUUAUCGGUAUAGGAUGGGGAUGCGUCUGAUUAGGUUGUUGGCGGGGUAACGGCCCACCAAGCCCACGAUCAGUAGGGGUUCUGAGAGGAAGGCCCCCCACAUUGGAACUGAGACACGGUCCAAACUCCUACGGGAGGCAGCAGUGAGGAAUAUUGGUCAAUGGACGAGAGUCUGAACCAGCCAAGUAGCGUGCAGGACGACGGCCCUAUGGGUUGUAAACUGCUUUUAUACAGGGAUAAAGUGAGCCACGUGUGGCUUUUUGUAGGUACUGUAUGAAUAAGGACCGGCUAAUUCCGUGCCAGCAGCUGC
rnacentral:rRNA from 1 species